rnacentral:rRNA from 1 species
AACGAACGCUGGCGGCGUGCUUAACACAUGCAAGUCGAACGCGAAAGGGACUUCGGUCCUGAGUAAAGUGGCGCACGGGUGAGUAACACGUGGAUAAUCUACCCAGUGUUCCGGGAUAACAUCUCGAAAGGGGUGCUAAUACCGGAUAAGCCCACGGGAACUUCGGUUCUUGCGGGAAAAGGUGGGGACCUUCGGGCCUACUGUCACUGGAUGAGUCCGCGGCCCAUUAGCUAGUCGGUAGGGUAAUGGCCUACCAAGGCUACGAUGGGUAGCUGGUCUGAGAGGAUGAUCAGCCACACUGGAACUGAGACACGGUCCAGACUCCUACGGGAGGCAGCAGUGGGGAAUUGUGCGCAAUGGGCGAAAGCCUGACGCAGCAACGCCGCGUGAGUGAUGAAGUCCUUCGGGUCGUAAAGCUCUGUCAGAGGGGAAGAACCUCCUGGGGGAUAAUAACCCUCAGGCCUGACGGUACCCUCAAAGGAAGCACCGGCUAACUCCGUGCCAGCCGCCGCGGUAAUAC